rnacentral:misc_RNA from 1 species
AACUUUCAGCAACGGAUCUCUUGGCUCUGGCAUCGAUGAAGAACGCAGCGAAAUGCGAUAAGUAAUGUGAAUUGCAGAAUCCAGUGAAUCAUCGAAUCUUUGAACGCACAUUGCGCCCGCCAGCAUUCUGGCGGGCAUGCCUGUCCGAGCGUCAUUUCAACCCUCAAGCACUGCUUGGCGUUGGGGCGUUACGCGCUAAGCGUAGGCUCCUAAAAUCAGUGGCGGGCUCGCUGUGGCUCCGGGCGUAGUAGCAACACCUCGCCCCGGGACCGCGGCGCUCUCCGGCCGUUAAACCCCCACUAUACUGAAGGUUGACCUCGGAUCAGGUAGGAAUACCCGCUGAACUUAAGCAUAUCAAUAAGCGGAGGCU